rnacentral:misc_RNA from 1 species
AAAAGCAUCAAAAUACGUUCUCGGUCGGUAGUUCCAGACAGAGAUAAACGUACCACAUUUUUGCCAACUGUAUUGUCUUUGGUGGGCGGACAGGUUCCUCUUUGAGCUUCCUGUUUGUCAGUCUGGAUGUUUCGCAUCUGGACCGUGGACAACCCACCAGCCGUUUGUUUAAACUUAUUUUUUUGUCUGACAUAUUAUUUGUAUCAAUAUACGAA